GAGUUUGAUCGUGGCUCAGAUUGAACGCUGGCGGCAGGCCUAACACAUGCAAGUCGAGCGGUUGAGGUAGCUUGCUACCGAUGCAGCGGCGAACGGGUGAGUAAUACAUGGGAAUCUGCCUGGUAGUGGGGGACAACGUCUCGAAAGGGACGCUAAUACCGCAUACGCCCUACGGGGGAAAGGGGGGAGUCUUCGGACCUCUCGCUAUCAGAUGAGCCCAUGUCAGAUUAGCUAGUUGGUGGGGUAAAGGCUCACCAAGGCGACGAUCUGUAACUGGUCUGAGAGGAUGAUCAGUCACACUGGAACUGAGACACGGUCCAGACUCCUACGGGAGGCAGCAGUGGGGAAUAUUGCGCAAUGGGCGAAAGCCUGACGCAGCGACGCCGCGUGGGGAUGAC
rnacentral:rRNA from 1 species